AUGAAAGUGACCGUGGCCGUGGCCCGGCCCGGCACAGCUGCCGUCGGGGCGAGGGGUGCACAAAACGCCAGCGGUCGGCGAGGAGCGUGCGAGCUGGAGCCGCUGCCCGCGCCAGACGAGAUGGCAGCACGCUCUGGACUUCUCUGCCCGGCAAGCAGCCCUGAGGCUGGACAGCAGGGAAGCAAGAAAAUGGACUCCCCUCUGCAGCCUGCAAUGUGCCAGGGUUUGCAGCCUAUUGGAGGAAAACAACAUCAAGGGAGAGUCCCCGAGAGGGGAGAAGCAUGUUUAGAGAAGGCCUUGGGGGUGUUCCGGAAGCAGUCUGGCCGCGAGCACACCGGUGCACACCUGCCGGAGAUGGGAGCCUGCAGGCCAGGAGGCACUGGCGCGGGGAGGGGCCGCGGUGAGGCCCCAGCUUCCUCUGACGCUGGCAGGUUUGCUUUCGGCCCUGAGAGGCUUUCCUCACUAGGAAAAGCUAAUUUCUUGAUUUAUGCUGAAGAACGCUUUUCAGAAGUACUUUACAAAGGGCCUUGGCUCUUAGUUAAUCUGAAAAUGUUUGAUUCUGAAACUGUUUCUCAGCAUUGA
rnacentral:lncRNA from 1 species